rnacentral:lncRNA from 1 species
CCCCAGAGAGCAGGAGGCAGUCUAAAGAGUAUGAUGACCCUGUGUGGCCUCAUGGAUCACCCCUUCCUAUUUUCUCACUGUACAAUGUAAAUAAGAGGAAGGGAUGUCUGUAACCAACAACCACCCACCUUCCAGAACCAGCCUGCUCUCAGACCCUCAGUGCUAGACACCACACCAUCACCAGCCACCAAAUGUGACACAUUUCCACUGUGGCCACAAGUAGUGCACCUUUAUCCUGCGCAGGUCUCGCAGAUGGCUCUUUUUCUCCUCCACCCACUACCCACCCCCAAUAAAUCUCUCACAUGAAGCCUGUUCUGUGGUGUGACCUUUGCAACAUCCCUUAGCCCUCUGAUCCCUGCGAGAACUCUAAGAAGCCUCCCAGGGAACGAUCAAUAUGAAGGGGCUCAGCCCACUGGAGGUAAUCUUGGCUGGUGGUCGUGGAGUGUACAAGAAAACAGGUUGAACAUGCCAUGAGGAACAAGUUAGUUAGCAAUGGUUCUCAUGGUCUCUGCUUCAGCUCCUACCUCUAGAGUCCUGCCUCAAGAUCCUGCCCUGAAUCUCUUCAAUGAUGGACUGUGAUGUGGAAGUGUAAACUGAAAUAAAUCCUUUCUUCCUCAAGUUUCUUUUGGUCAUGCAUGGGGUCUUAUCAUAGCAAUGGAAACCAUCACUAAGACAGAGGUGCACAAGGACCCUA